rnacentral:lncRNA from 1 species
GGGUUGAUUUACAUUGUUGCUGUUGCUAGUAUAUGGAUUGCCGCUAGCUACAUCGUGCAGUCUGUUGUGGAUGCUGGUGUCUCUCCAUUCUUGAUCACCUAUAUAUGCAAUUCUCUGUUUGUUGUCUACAUUCCCAUAGUUGAGGCUGCUCGGUACUUUGAGGAUUCUUUUGGCGACUUUUGGAUAAAGUUGAAAUUCAAGGAUGCUGAAAGCCUGCAGCAGGCUUCUGAUCUGGAGAGUGUCAAUCUUCUUCAAUGUGGGAGGCAUGAGAUUAAUAUUGCCUCGGAUCAAUCACAAACAAGGCUGUCUGAAGACACUUCAGUUCCAGAUACAGGCUUCCCUGCCCACACGGAGCUAAGUGUUGUAGGUUGCAGCAAAGGGUUGGAUGCAAAGGGGCGCUGGACACGUGCUCGUGUGGCCAAAGUGAGCAUGCUAAUCAGCCCCUUUUGGUUCCUCGCGCAGCUUACAUUCAAUCUGUCUCUAAGAUACACCACUGUUACCGUAAGUGUUACUAAGAAGAACCAAAUGACACUUCCAUAUUUUAUUGAGAUCUAGUUGUGUUUUGUCCUAUCACUAUUUGAUCUAAAAUAUGCUUCUGUUUCUGUGAACUUGCAGUCAAACACCAUCUUAAGUAGCACGUCUAGCCUCUUCACUUUCUUGGUCGCAUUAGUUUUUCUUGGAGAGACAUUCACAUGGUUGAAGCUAAUUAGUGUGCUUCUCUGCAUGGGAGGUACAAUAAUUGUCAGCCUGGCUGAUUCAAGUAGUUCAGUUAAUGCCAUUGCUACAAAUCCUCGUCUCGGAGAUUUCCUAUCCAUUGUUUCUGCCGGUUUAUAUGCUGUGUAUAUCACCUUGAUUCGAAAAAAGUUGCCCGAUGAGAAAGGUCAAGGACAAGUGAGCAUGGCUCAGUUUCUGGGAUUCCUGGGACUCUUUAAUAUGUUGUUUUUCCUUCCUGUUGCAUUGGUAUUGAAUUUCGCCAAGCUGGAGCAAUUCCACAGUCUCACGUGGGAACAAGUUGGUCUUGUUGUUGGAAAAGGUACAUUUGCUCCCUAUCAUGAAAGUUCCCCAUUGUCUGAUUCAUAACAUAAACAAUAUUACUGCAAUCCAUAUCUCAAUGAUAUGUAGUAAUAACUCAUAGAAACAUUGAGGAUUCAUUAGUAAAAUCACACGGCGAGUAAUGAACUGCCACUAAUUUAUGAUUUCGGCAUUCUUUGUAGGUUUGAUAGACAAUGUUUUGAGUGACUACUUGUGGGCAAAAGCAAUCCUUCUCACAACAACUACGGUCGCUACAGCUGGCCUCACAAUCCAAGUUCCCAUUGCUGCCAUUGUGGACACGCUCACCGGUCAUGCUCCUCAUCUACUGGACUAUAUUGGAGCUGCUGCCGUCUUAGCUGGUUUUGCUGGGAUCAACAUACCAGUUGGAGAGUCUCUGCAGGUUGUUCAGCAAGAGCAGGAAACUCCAAUUGUUAGCAUGGUUGAUGACCCGGUUCAUUUGCCCACCAGUACCAAUGCUACUGAUUCCAUCUCAUAGUUGCCUGGGACCAUGUGAACUAUCAGCACUAUAUACAGACGUGUGUGUGUGUGUUGGGGGGGGGGGGGGGGGGGGGGGUUGAGACGAGCAUUUAUCUGCUUUUCCCUUCAAACCAAGCCAUCAGGACAGAAGAGAUGAAACAUGGACUGAAGUUAGAGUAGCUUACUUAGCUUUUUCAGAACUUUGAGCAACAAGUGUUUUGGGAUCUGCAUUUAUUUUAUCUUUACAUCUGCACAAGCAGUUUCAUACGGAAGUAAGUUCUGUUUCUGAUUCAUGCAAGGUGUUGCGUUUGUAGAAGGGUAUAAGUAUAAAGAAUUUGUAUUAUGUAUAUGGUGAAGCUCAACCAAUGGUAGUUGAGCCUAUAUUUAAGGUGUGUUUGGUUUCUAGUGACUAAUUUUUAGUUCAUCUAUUUUAUUUCAUUUUAGUCCCUAAAUUUCUAAAUGCGGAAAAUAAAAUAAAAUUUUAGUUUUGUAUUUGGCAAUUUAGUGACUAAAAUAUAAUAAAAUAUAGGAACUAAAAAAAAGUCUAUAGAAACCAAACAACCUCUUAAUAAAAGCAUUUUGAGCCCUAUGCCAUGAAAAUGCUGUUUAUUUCUCUCAGUUUUGGUUCCCAACUAAUUUUUGCUUUGCUCCUUCCAAAAAUUUGAAAAUUCCAGACAUCAGAUUAUCAGAACGAGUUGUUUUACUCACACCACAACUUAGGUUUAAGACAUUAUUUGUGACUAUCGUAACAGGUCUUCUCAGUUGGAAGUACUACAGGAGCGCGUGCUCUUGAAUCCUUUAAUUGACUGCAGCUGUUAUGCUUCAGGUGAAGUGCAUGGAAAUUUUGUCGGUUUUAAGAUGUCAUGACACAAUCGUAGACCGUAGUGUUUUUUAUGUACAUCAUUUAUUAUAUUAUUACUAAUUAUUACCCUAUGAUUAAUGUAAUAGUGAUAGAUCAACUUAUUUCAUUUUAUAAACCAAAUAAAAAAAGUGAAGAGUGGCAAGAUGAUGAAUUACCUUAUUUCUCAAAACAAACACAUUAAAAGUAUCUCAAACCAUAGUAUUUACUACAACCAUAAUAUUUAAAACAUAGUUUUUACCAGGUACCCAAACCUCUUGACAAAAAAAAUACUAUGGUAUUUUUCAAUAUCAUAACCUCAAACUCCAAAAUUACUUUGCUUCCAAAUACCCUCUAAUUAGGGAUGGCAAUCGGGUGGGUAGAACGCGGAUAUAUGGUUCGCGUAUCCAUACCCACGAGAUAAAACCAUACCCAUACCCAUACCCAUUUACGCUCGUGGGUACGGAUCUGUAUCCGUACCCGUACCCGCCGGAUAUCCGUUAUCCAACGGAUAUCCGUUACCCGCCCGCCCACUAAAAUUUCAGCAAGUAAUCUUUUCAAAUCCCUACAAGCAAUCUGUCCAAAACUCUAAAUUGAAACACUAAUUUAUCCAAGCAACUUUAAUUUACCAGAGAAGACUCGACGCUCGGCGGUGGCAGGGCGGCUCGAACGGUGGCUCGGCUGCUUGGCGGCGCCCUGUGCUCGGCGGCGGCUCGGCUGCUCGGCGGCACCCUGUGCUCGGCGGCUUGCUGCUCGCUGCAGCCCUGCACAAGCACGACUGGAACUUCAAGCUUGGCGGCUGGCUAGGGUUAGAAACUUGGAGUUGGAGACCGACUGAGUGACUGACCGCCGAGAGCCCGAGAGGCCAAGACCAAGAGUCCAAGACCGCAGGGGCAGGGCGCAGGCUGUUGAUCGCUUGGAUGUUGGAUUGGAUUUGGCCUCUGGUCGUAGCCUCCUGGCCUCCUGGGCCGUAGGCGGCACUGCGACAGGCCGCUUGGACUUGGACGUUGGACUGCUGGUCACUGUUUGGGUCCACAUGUCAUAUGUCCAUCGGGUGACGGAUAUGGAUAGCAGAUAUCCAUACCCACAAAAUUAUUACCCGUGGAUACCAUAUAAUACCCAUACCCGUACCCGCGGAUAUAAAACUCCACCAUAUCCGUACCCAACGGGUAAAUAACCGCGGUUAUUUACCCAUACCCGUACCCAUUGCCAUCCCUACCUCUAAUAUGUUUGUCCAUAAAAAAAGAUGUCUACAACUGCGAACAUCUUGCUCAGAUCUCUUUGUCUUGGACUGUCUUCAACGCAUUCCCACUCCGACGGUAUAGCGGCUACAGUUACCAUCUACCGGCUGCAACGGAGCACACCACGACGUCCUUUAUCCAAGGGGAACGCUCUCUCUCCUCCCGUGUCUAGAGGAAUGCUACGGCAACCCUCUGUCCCUGUUCCUCCCGUUCGCGGUUGGUUGGUGAAGUUUCUCACUGCUCGCUUGCGCACGGCCGUGCUCGAAGACGACGCCGGAGUCGAGACUGCUUCUAGGUGCUAGCGUGCGGUGGCGGUUAGGCUAUCCGCAAGCGUUAGCUCUAAAUUUUUCUCCCUAUAUCACUUUUCCCUCUAUUUUCCUCCUAUUUUUUCAUCUCCCGCAGCGGUUCCUCCUAAAUAUUCACUCUAUACCCUACUACAACUAUAAAAUAUCAUUUUCUAUAUCAACUAUCAAUUUUUUAUCUACUAACAAUUACUCGUGAACCCACAGCACAGUGUUUAGGGGAUAAACAGUGAUACGCUAGAUCUAAGGGGAGAGAGAAGGGGCCGGCGCGUAGGGGGCGCUGUAGUGGGCAUCGCUGCGGCCGUAGAGUGCCCUCUACAAACCGCAUGCAAGAGAAGGGGGCUGCCGAAUUUUUUAUAUUUUGGCCCUUCCUCGGAAAAAAAUACACGUUUGGACCUUAGAAAAUUUUAAUGUCAUUUUUGGACCCUCUGAUCGGCGCCAUCGCCAAUGGCGCUGAGGUAACACAGCUCGGCGCCAUAGGCUAUGGCGCCGAGGUGUGUGCUGCGCUGGCACAAACGGAUGUCGUGGCACCGCGGGUGGUAGGCAGCGAUGCGGGUGCGGCGCAACGACGUAGUCCAGGCAAAGGCCGGAGAAGAGAAAGACGUUGCUGCCAAGUCCACUCUCGACGAAUCAAAUCAAGCGUCCAUGUAUGGAUCCAACCCACAUGCCUUCUAUCUGUACUCCAACCUAAACAUUGUUGGCAAUCCCCUCUAAUCCCCACAUGAGCACAUCGAUUUCCCUAUUAGAUCUACUUGUACAGGUUCACAAUAAAUGUAAGGCCCUGUUUGUUUGGGAAUAUAAUCUAUGUAGAUUAUAUAAUCCAAUGUAAAUAAGUUAGUGAGGAAACAAACAAACAACUUAUCUAAUAAGAUUAUAUAAUCUAGCACUUGAGAUUAUGAUAAUCCUGUAAGCUUAUCGAAAGGUGCUUAUUUCAGCUUAUUUUUGAUGAAAGACCCACUACCCAUGGCAAGUUGAUUAAAAUUACUUUCAAUUGUCAUUCACCUGUCCAUACGUGUUUCACCCACCAGACAAGUAAAAUAGCCAAGGGUAUUGUUGUAUUUGUAUGCAUAUGAAUAAUAAGUCGAGUCCAAAUAAUCUAAACUAACAAACAGCAGCAUCUAGCUUAUUUAAUCCAGAGCAAAUAAUCCAGAUUAUAUAAUCUAGAUUAUAAUUUAGAUUAUAUAAUCUAUAAGUUGAAACAAACAGGGCUUAAAGUGAAGUGUGCUCGGUUAUCUUGUGAUUACUAACUUCGAUGCACAACCGAAAGGGUCAUUUGUGCAUGAUAUGUGCACAUGCUAGAUUAUGAGAAGAACAACACGUGACCUUUUUUAAUGGAUGCAUAUGAUGUUGGGUUUAUAUCCCAAGACUGAACAUGGAUGCGUGCUGAAGCUGUUUGUGUUGUACAUUAUCGUAAAAAUGUCAAUGCAGCUUUGUGGUGUCAAUUAUUUGCUAUUAAAAUUCUUGUGAUGAACUUAUUCAGUUAGACUAUACUGUCUUUGAACUGAAGCAAAGGGAAGCCUUAAGGCAAUUGAACAGAACGGUAACCGAGCUACAGCCUGCUCGUGAAGCAAUUGCACUUAUCAAGAUGUCUGUUACAGAAUUGAUGAAUAAUAAGAAUGGAAGAUGCAUUGAAGCUUGAUUCCUUCCUGGGAAACCUUCCAAAGAAAUUGAUGUUUGGUAGUGUUGAUGCAAUGAAUGUAACUGUAGUUAAGAGCACCUAGAGGAGGAGAAUAGAUGAUCCUGUAAAAAUCUAAACAACACAAACUUGGUUUAUAAAAUGUUAUUGAAGUCAAAACCAAGGUGCUAUGAAUAGAGAGGGAGAGAACUCUUCACAUGAUUGUUCCUUUAAAAUAUGUAUUUGAACUUAGAAACAAUAGUGUAAGUGAUUAAGUGAGAACUCUAAGGAAGAAAGCAAUCACAAUAGAAGUUACAUAAGAGACACGGUGAUUUUAUCCCGUGGUUCGGCCAAUGCCUACUCCACAUUGUGGCGACCUCCUUAGGUCAAGAAUUGCACUCAAUCCCUCUAAAGUGAUCCAAAUAUCAACUUGAGUACCACGAUUUUUCUUCCUUUUCUCAAGUAUUCCCUUUGUAAGGAAUCUCUACAAAUUAGAGCCUCUCACCCUUACAAGAUUGAUCACACUUAACCACAAGAGUAAGGGAGAGAAUAGAAACAAUGCAGAGCUAGAGUCGCCAGCAAUGACACGGACACAAGUCAAGAAACGAGCACACAACACAGCGCAGCAAGUUCACAGCUCAGACAAGUGCUCAAAUCUCAACAUAAAUAAUCGAUGCGUGCUUGCGGAGUCUAGACGUCUUAGGAUGUUCAAGAGGUGUUUGGUGUGCUGCUCCAUGCGCUGGCGUGACGGUAUCCAUAGAGAUUUGAUCCAUGGGCUCGUCCUUCCAAAACGAUCCCGUCUCCACGUCAGGUAAGGCCUUGUUCGUUUCUGCCGGAUUGGUGGGUCGGAACGAUUCCUGACCGGAUUGCUUCUCUAAUUUAUAUAAACUUUGAUUAGCUGAAACGAUUCCGGGUGCAAUCCGACGGAACGAACAAGGCCUAACUCGGCUCUCGCAAUAAAUUUCCUAGCAAACGUCAAGCGGUUUCGGCAUACUUGGAUGUGGAUUACUUGCCCAUCAAAAUUUCUGAGAGGGUGAGGUUGCGUGCUUCUCUUAUCUUCUCUUUCGUUAUCACUACUACAAUGAUUGAUUAUUUUAUUGGCAUAUCAAUGGGUGCAAUCUCGUGGGGAUGUGCAGACGUGGGUUGCUUUUUCAGUUAGGAGCCAUUCCUUGCCGCAAUGAGUGAAUUGGGCACAGCAUUUGAACAAAAGGAGCAAUCUGUUAUUGGUAAUGGUAAUGUGACAUGAGCAGGAAUAUGGAGGUCGCGGACCAACCAUAGUUGAUGCCCUUAAUCCUCCAAACCGAAAAAUAAUCACUUCUGCCUACGUUUGUUCAGUAUAGCGUAUGCUCUAUACGUUUUUUUUCCUAUACCAAAUGUUGUUGAACUUAUGGUUUGUGACCUUAACAGGAAGUUCGGAGGUUGCUGAUGGCAGUAGAAGCAGCACCAACAAGUGGACCAAAAUUACGAGCACAAACUCGUGGAGAUGGUGCUUAGGUUGAUUUACAUUGUUGCUGUUGCUAGUAUAUGGAUUGCCGCUAGCUACAUCGUGCAGUCUGUUGUGGAUGCUGGUGUCUCUCCAUCUUGAUCACCUAUAUAUGCAAUUCUCUGUUUGUUGUCUACAUUCCCAUAGUGAGGUGCUCGGUACUUUGAGGAUUCUUUGGCGACUUUUGGAUAAAGUUGAAAUUCAAGGAUGCUGAAAGCCUGCAGCAGGCUUCUGAUCUGGAGAGUGUCAAUCUUCUUCAAUGUGGGAGGCAUG